AGAUGCACUGACUUAUGCAAAGGUAAAAGCGCACAUGUCGCAUCCGCUUUACAAGAGAAGCCCUAUCGGGCCUUGGCUACCAUACGGCUCGGAGCAGUUGUUCAGGCAGCUAUAGCAUGGCCGCCUGUGUUCUUGCCUUUCUAACGUUGCUCACACAAAGUGCUGCAGCCGAAUAUGCAUCAGAGUGCGCAAACUUCAGCUUCCCCAACUUUUUAGACCUUGGAAGUUGCAUGAACUCAUCUGGGGAUUUGUGUACGGCUGACUCGGUAAGAA